rnacentral:rRNA from 1 species
UACGUAGGGAGCAAGCGUUGUUCGGAUUUACUGGGCGUAAAGGGCGCGUAGGCGGCCUAGCAAGUCACUUGUGAAAUCUCCGGGCUUAACUCGGAACUGCCAAGUGAAACUGCUGGGCUAGAGUGCAGAAGGGGCAAUCGGAAUUCUUGGUGUAGCGGUGAAAUGCGUAGAUAUCAAGAGGAACACCUGAGGUGAAGACGGGUUGCUGGGCUGACACUGACGCUGAGGCGCGAAAGCCAGGGGAGCAAACGGG